AUUGAACGCUAGCGGGAUGCUUUACACAUGCAAGUCGGACGAGUGGCGGACGGGUGAGUAAUAUAUCGGAACGUGCCCAGUAGCGGGGGAUAACUGCUCGAAAGAGAGCUAAUACCGCAUACUAUUCGAUGAACCCAUGUGUGAUUAGCUAGUUGGUGGGGUAAUGGCUCACCAAGGCGACGAUCCGUAGCUGGUCUGAGAGGAUGACCAGCCACACUGGGACUGAGACACGGCCCAGACUCCUACGGGAGGCAGCAGUGGGGAAUAUUGCGCAAUGGGGGCAAGCCUGACGCAGCCAUGCCGCGUGUAUGAAGAAGGCCUUCGGGUUGUAAAGUUCUUUCGGUGGGGAGGCGUUAACGACAGAAGAAGCACCGGCUAACUCCGUGCCAGCAGCCGCGGUAAUAC
rnacentral:rRNA from 1 species